rnacentral:rRNA from 1 species
CUACGGGAGGCAGCAGUAGGGAAUCUUCCACAAUGGGCGAAAGCCUGAUGGAGCAACGCCGCGUGGGUGAAGAAGGUCUUCGGAUCGUAAAACCCUGUUGUUAGAGAAGAAAGUGCGUGAGAGUAACUGUUCACAUUUCGACGGUAUCUAACCAGAAAGCCACGGCUAACUACGUGCCAGCAGCCGCGGUAAUACGUAGGUGGCAAGCGUUAUCCGGAUUUAUUGGGCGUAAAGGGAACGCAGGCGGUCUUUUAAGUCUGAUGUGAAAGCCUUCGGCUUAACCUGAGUAGUGCAUUGGAAACUGG